rnacentral:pre_miRNA from 1 species
AGUGGGAUAGCUGGGUCAGAUGGAAACUUGGUUUCAUUCCAAGUUUUUUGAGGAAUCUCCAUAUUGCUUUCCAUAGUAGUUGUACCAAUUUGUAGUCCCACUGGCAAU